GCUGGUCAAUGAUGAUUUUAUUUUUUUUGUUGGACAGCUGGAUGAGAUUUGCGGAUAUGGGACUGAGACCAGCC
rnacentral:snoRNA from 1 species